rnacentral:rRNA from 1 species
UACGUAGGGGGCUAGCGUUGUCCGGAAUCAUUGGGCGUAAAGAGCGUGUAGGCGGCCCGGUAAGUCCGCUGUAAAAGUCAAAGGCUCAACCUUUGAAUGUCAGUGGAUACUGCCGGGCUAGAGUCCGGAAGAGGCGAGUGGAAUUCCUGGUGUAGCGGUGAAAUGCGUAGAGAUCAGGAGGAACACCUGUGGUGUAGACAGCUUACUGGAACGGUGACUGACGCUGAGGUGCGAAAGCGUGGGGAGCAAACGGG